AUGUCAUGCUCUUCGUCUUUUGUCGGCUUGUUUUCUCUAAUAUUUCUUCCAGAUGAUGGAAAAUGAUCACAUUCAUUAGUCAAGGUCAACUAAGAUAGCGGUGACUGGACCUUCUAAAGUUGUGAGAGUAUCUGAGGAAGCAGUCACCAGCUCCCUGAUCUUCUGUAUGGCUCUUUCUGGGCUUAGCUCCUCAACACUCUCCACUGGUUCUGGAGAACCAUCAGAUGGGCAUUCAACUGCAGAACCACUGGAGACUGGAGGUCCAGCAAGCUGCUUCAGAAAAUCAAGGUUACAGGUUGAGUAGACGUGUGAGCUGUGUUUCCGUUAACUGAAAACCAUGUCUGUGCAGAAGAGACUGCAGGUCCAUUAUGGUCACAUGGCCAUCUCUGUUUGUAUCCAGAACUAAAAGGCUUCCACUCACGUUCUCAAAAUCACUCCUGAUCCACUUCCUAUAAACAAAAAUAAAUAUGUAACAUUACGUGUUUGACUAUGAUGGCCCAAUUAAUGAUCUUUGAAUCAAUGUGAAAGUAUGUGUGACUGGCCUAUUUAUUCCAAUCAUCUCUCACAAUAAAUAUCAAGUCAGUUCUCA